rnacentral:snoRNA from 1 species
AAGAGUGAGAUCUUUCUGGCACAUUUGUUAAGUUUCUGCCCGAGUCUGCCACAUAUUUUGGAGCUGGCAAAGGCUUGAAAACAAAGAGAUCUCUCUUAAGCCUUUCCUGCAUCAAAGAUUGGCUCCCACAGCA